CGGACGGGUGAGUAACGCGUGAGAACUUACCUUUUGGUGGGGGAUAACAGCGGGAAACUGCUGCUAAUACCCCAUAAUGCUGAGGAGCUAAAAGUGAAAACUGCCAAGAGAGAGGCUUGCGUCUGAUUAGCUAGUUGGUGGGGGUAAAGGCCUCCCAAGGCGACGAUCAGUAGCUGGUCUGAGAGGAUGAUCAGCCACACUGGGACUGAGACACGGCCCAGACUCCUACGGGAGGCAGCAGUGGGGAAUUUUCCACAAUGGGCGAAAGCCUGAUGGAGCAAUACCGCGUGAGGGAUGAAGCAUCGUGGUGUGUAAACCUCUUUUCUUAAGGAAGAAUCAAUGACGGUACUUAAGGAAUAAGCACCGGCUAACUCUGUGCCAGCAGCCGCGGUAAUACAGAGGGUGCAAGCGUUGUCCGGAAUGAUUGGGCGUAAAGCAUCUGUAGGUGGUUUCUAAAGUCAACUGUUAAAUCCCAGAGCUCAACUUUGGCCAAGCAGUUGAGUACUUAGAGACUUGAGUACGGUAGGGGUAGAGGGAAUUCCUUGUUUAGCGGUGAAAUGCAUAGAGAUAAGGAAGAACACCAGUGGCGAAAGCGCUCUACUGGGCCGUAACUGACACUGAGAGAUGAAAGUUAGGGGAGCGAAAGGGAUUAGAUACCCCUGUAGUC
rnacentral:rRNA from 1 species